AUUGAACGCUGGCGGCAUGCUUUACACAUGCAAGUCGAACGGUAACAGGGAGCUUGCUCCGCUGACGAGUGGCGAACGGGUGAGUAAUGCAUCGGAACGUACCGUGUAAUGGGGGAUAACGUAGCGAAAGUUACGCUAAUACCGCAUACGCCCUGAGGGGGAAAGUGGGGGACCGCAAGGCCUCACGUUAUACGAGCGGCCGAUGUCGGAUUAGCUAGUUGGUGGGGUAAAGGCCUACCAAGGCGACGAUCCGUAGCGGGUCUGAGAGGAUGAUCCGCCACACUGGGACUGAGACACGGCCCAGACUCCUACGGGAGGCAGCAGUGGGGAAUUUUGGACAAUGGGGGCAACCCUGAUCCAGCCAUGCCGCGUGAGUGAAGAAGGCCUUCGGGUUGUAAAGCUCUUUCAGGUGGAAAGAAAUCUCCCGGGUGAAUACCCUGGGAGGAUGACGGUACCAUCAGAAGAAGCACCGGCUAACUACGUGCCAGCAGCCGCGGUAAAGUA
rnacentral:rRNA from 1 species